CCUACGGGAGGCAGCAGUGGGGAAUAUUGCACAAUGGGCGAAAGCCUGAUGCAGCAACGCCGCGUGAAGGAAGACGGUUUUCGGAUUGUAAACUUCUAUCAAUAGGGAAGAAAGAAAUGACGGUACCUAAAUAAGAAGCCCCGGCUAACUACGUGCCAGCAGCCGCGGUAAUACGUAGGGGGCAAGCGUUAUCCGGAAUUACUGGGUGGAAAGGGAGAGUAGGCGGCAAGGUAAGCGAGAUGUGAAAGCCUUAAGCUAAACUUGAGGAUUGCAUAAGAAACUAUGUAGCUAGAGUACAGGAGAGGAAAGCGGAAUUCCUAUGGUAGCGGUGAAAGGCGUAGAUAUUAGGAGGAACACCAGUGGCGAAGGCGGCUUUCUGGACUGAAACUGACGCUGAGGCUCGAAAGCGUGGGGAGCGAACAGGAUUAGAUACCCUGGUAGUC
rnacentral:rRNA from 1 species